rnacentral:tRNA from 1 species
GGAGACGUAGUUCAAUGGAAUCAGAAUAGCUGAAUACGAAUCAGCAGGUUGCAGGUUCGAGUCCUGCCGUCUCCUCCA